rnacentral:rRNA from 1 species
CCUACGGGAGGCAGCAGUGGGGAAUAUUGGACAAUGGGCGCAAGCCUGAUCCAGCCAUGCCGCGUGAGUGAUGAAGGCCUUAGGGUUGUAAAGCUCUUUUACCUGGGAAGCGGUACCAGGAGAAUAAGCCCCGGCUAACUUCGUGCCAGCAGCCGCGGUAAUACGAAGGGGGCUAGCGUUGUUCGGAUUUACUGGGCGUAAAGGGCGCGUAGGCGGGCGAUUUAGUCAGGGGUGAAAUCCCAAGGCUCAACCUUGGAACUGCCUUUGAUACUGAUUGUCUUGAGUUCGAGAGAGGUAAGUGGAACUGCGAGUGUAGAGGUGAAAUUCGUAGAUAUUCGCAAGAACACCAGUGGCGAAGGCGGCUUACUGGCUGAACUGACGCUGAGGCGCGAAAGCGUGGGGAGCAAACAGGAUUAGAUACCCUUGUAGUC